UUUAGGAUUGCAUGUUAAUUCCAGUUUUUGAUAGUGCGUAUAUCUGGGGCCAAUGAUGAAAGUAGAAUUGCAUGAACAAGUCUAGUAAGGAUUGUUGAUUCAGUGAUAUGAUUUUCGUGACUUGAAUUGGAUCUUUAUCUGUUUGACAUUGAUAUUAUAGGAAGGCACUUUGAAAUAAAACGACCAUGUUGGCUAUGAUAGUUUAAAUGGUUAGAUAAUAGAGUUCUAAAGGAGGAUUGCUAGUGAUAUGGAAGAACAAUUUGAAUAACUAGAGGAGACUGAAUUCAUGCAUAAACUCGAGUUUGGGGGAAAAC
rnacentral:lncRNA from 1 species